rnacentral:lncRNA from 1 species
GCCCCCAGUUGGUUAAAAAAUAAUAAUUAAAAAGGAAAAAGAGAAAACCUCUUCUGCAGGUUAAUAAUUUAAAGAUUUUGUAUGGCAUGGGGUUUGUGCAGGAGGCAAAAAGAAUAAUGGAGGUUGGGCUAAUACUACGUAGAGCCAAAGACUGUGUCUGACAGGGAACAGCUUAUGGUGUUAAAUCAGCCCACUCUCUUUCUCUCUCUUUCUGUCAGGCUACGGUUUGAAAUGAUCCAAACUUUGCACUCCCAACAGUGGUUGACACGUAUCUCAGUGUCCACAUUUUCCUACUUGUUCCCCUCCCAUCUUGACGGCAACUACGCGGUUACCGUAGGCCCUAUUUACCUCCUGGUCCCUUCCACCUCACCCCCACAUGUUUAUCAGCUUCGUCCUGAUCCGCUUUGUCAAACAAACCCUAAUUGACGGUCACCUUUGCCUAACUUCCACCUUCUAUUUUCACUUUUCCCACUUUUUUCUUCUUAGAUAUUAUGUCGAACAAGUAGGGGAGUGGUGGAUGUAGAAGAAACAAUAAUCGCGUGGAGGUGAUGACUGAUGAGAUUCGCGGAGUCCAAGGAAAUGAUGAUAAUUCCAUGCAACAGAAAGUAUGAAUAUUCGCCACAAGAUGUGUACCUGCCCGCACUCAUAUAUAAUGAGUAAAUGCCCUCUGUCCCCCUCUCAUCCCUCUCCCCCCAACCCCCCCUUCCUCCCUCACAUUAACAUCAUCAUCAUGUUCAUGUACCCUUAAUGGCAAAAUAAGAGUAAAAAUUGAAUAAAGAGAGAAAAAUGUUAUCUUUCUAACAAGUAAAUUUAAUUUGAUAAAAUAGUGAACAGGAUGGACAGCAAAAGUGGUAAAUGGGGUUGGUGGAAAAAGAGAAGGCACAAUCAGUUAAUUUAAAUUACACCGAGGGCCCUGUAAUUGUAGUAACUGCAGUCUGAGACGUCUGGAUGAAGUGACCAUGAUUAAAUCGGUACAACAUCCAAACAGGGUCUCAGGAAUUUUUCCCCACACAAAGACCCUUCCACGAAACUAUAAAUGAUCGUAAUCACACGAUAUCGGCACUCAUUUUUCAUGUAUUUAUUCAACUAAGCUUUUCCAGGAAAUAAAUUGCUCUAGUACGGCUUCUUUUUUUUCUUUUCUUUUUUUUUUUGUCAAAUAGUCGGCACCGUCUCCCCUUCGUAACGCCCACAACCUACAAGUUACAGCCAAAAUUUAUUUAUUUUUAAAUAUGGAAAUACCAAACGUGAUUGAUUUGAUUGAAA